rnacentral:tRNA from 1 species
GGGCGGUUAGCUCAGUUGGUUAGAGCGCCACGUUGACAUCGUGGAGGUCACAAGUUCGAAUCUUGUACCGCCCA